GCGUUUCCAUUGCUCUCAUUCUCAUGUCACUGACUUCGGCAGUGCAGCACAUUUCAAAGGCAGUUACUAAUGUAGGCAGGGCAGGGCAGGGCUCUUUGCCUCGUGCGUGUGUAUUUUCACAGUAUUUACACCAAAUCAAAUGUAUUCAUAUAGCCCUUCUUACAUCAGCUGAUAUAUCAAAGUGCUGUACAGAAACCCAGCCUAAAACCCUAAAGAGCAAGCAAUGCGUCUCUCUCUUAGUAGACGCCGGCGCGUAUCCUCAACGUAAAUGACGUUCCUGGUGGUUUUGAAGUAAUUCUCCCAUGCAAUCCAAUAUAGCCUUUGCAUCACACUGUUGUCGUGCUGUGAGGGUGAGUUUGUGCCGGUAGAAAUGCCUGCAUUCGCUGCCCAUUAAACUCCUCAUUUGCCGCUUGGACCUCGUUGGGUUGAUGUAGACCGGUUGCCAGCGCAUAGUCCUCGAAUUCAUCCCUGAAGUUGUACCAAUUAGUAUUCGAGACCCCUGUGAGAACCAUGGGAUUUGGUGGCGGAAUGUUCGCUGCCAUAGCGAUGGAAUAGGAGAUAUCUUUGCCUUCAGCCAUCGAGGUAACAUUAGGUAGUGAUGCUCGCUUGCCAGCUAACAACGAGUUGAUCCGUGUUGUGACUAGCAGUAGGAAACGGCGUGUGUUCGCAUAUGGAACGUAACCGCGCCAAUACUGUACUCAGCUACAGAAAUAACAGACGUGUGGUUUUCAAGACACUUCUGAUACCAUGUUUCAGUACGAUAUGUUGGAUAAAGGAAUGAAGAAUGAAGACAGACACCAAUGUCAAGUUCAAUAGCCUUGUUCAAGCGUUGUACAAAUCCCUACACACGGAGUCCAGGAAACAGUCCGUCUUGUCGAUUACCUAUCAAUUACACUCCGUAACAAUCAUCCUGGUCAUUUCUACUGCCUCUGAUCGAGCGGACUCCCUUGCUUUGUUUGGAUAUAAGGCCAGAGCUGCUUCAUCACUGCACAACUGCAACCUGCAAUUCACUUCUUCAAUCUACUGCUCCUAAAUACUUAAUCAUGAGUAUGAACUACAUGAGCACCGAGAGGAUUCUGCUGAAAGGGGACUACCUCCUCUCCAACAAUGGACAAUUUAAAGC